UCGAAUAACAAACGAAUAUAAUAUCAUGGCUUCUAUUCCCUCUUUAUCCUACUUCCCUCUCCGAUUUCUCUGCAAUACCCAUUCCCAUUUAUUCCUCAUCUUCCACCCACCAAACGUAGCAAACCAAAAGGCCAUCAUGUUUCCGAAGUGUCAUGCCACAGUAACCAAAACACCACCCCAACACCAAACCCAGAAGAAGAAAAACCAUCACACAACAUUCCAGGAAAACAUAGGAGGGAUGUUCUCCUUGGCAUUGGGGGACUUUACGGUGCUUCUACUCUUAGCAACACCAACCAAAGCCAUGGCUGCAGCCCCUAUUCUCCAUCCCUUAAUGUGCUUAAAGUUCCUGGCGUAAAGAAAACUUUGGGUAUUCCUGAAAUACCUGUUGCUCCACCCACCACGACCAGUGCUACUCAAUCUCCCUUUUCUAUAUUUCCAGCUCUAAAACAAGCUACAUCUGCAACAACAAAUGGGUCAAGCUCAAUACCAGAUGAAGUUUCAAAAUAUUCAAAUAAAAAGAUAUCUUCUGCUUCUGUUAUUCGUCAAAGGCUUAGAAGUUUAGAGAAACAAGUGAAAGGAAGAAAGAAGAACAAGAAGUGAGGAAAAUUUACAAUAAUCCUAAAUUAUAACAUCUAUACAUGGAGCAAUUGUGCUCAGCAUUUUGUUAUAUUUUAUUAUCCUGGGAUGAGGGAGAAAUUAGUUCGAACUUUGUAUGUUUAGUCUACACUCGAUUCAUCGGUUUCUCAAUUCUUGUGUAAAACUUGGUCCCUAUCAGAAAGGGCGGCCUCAAUAAUUUUAUAUAACUUUUCAUCCUUCAUUUUAAUUUUAGAAAUUAAUGUGAUCAAAAGAUGGCUAAUAUGAGCUCUUAUUUGACACAAAUGGUAAGAGUUUCAACUUUA